UCGAACUCACGACCGCCUGCUUGCAAGGCAGGUGCUUAUGCCGCUGAGCUAAAUCCCCAGCCCCUGACCAAUGAUUCUUAAUAGUGAUAUUUAAUCCGAGAUCACAGACACCUUCUAUGGGCCAGGUUAGCCCUUGGAGGCGGGCACUGGAGGAGGAAAUGUCAAUCAAGAGGACAGAACAGCGCCAGAAACGCAGAAGGUGAAUGUUGCCUGUCACUGCUUCUCAGAAUUCCUAGGCGCAGGGGUACUAAGAAGUGCUGGUAAGGUGUGUUUUCCCCUAAACAAACGUAUAAACGAAAAAAAAAAUCCUAAUUUCUCAGGACAAUCAACUGUAUUAAAUUACUAUUCCUGCCGAAUUUAUUCUUCCUCUCUUCACCACUAGGUGUCACAAGAAUCCUGUUUUAACAGAAACAAAGCUUUAAAAAAAAAUACUGACCUAAAAAAAUCAUUUUCCCGGUAUUCAAAUUUCUCAGUAAAAAAAAAAUUAUUUUUAACAGGAGGAAGCUUAGGAACAGUCUGGAACUUACUCCUUGAAUAACAUAUCUCUUGAAUCACAAAAUGAUUGUAAUGCUUCCUAACUGCAAAAAUGAUGGGUCUUACAGAAUCAUAACAUAGAUUUUUGUUGAAAUAUCUGUGGUAAAUGUAUGUCUUGCAGGAAAUUCCAUUGGGUUUACACUAUUUAUUUAAUAGAAAUAAUCUCUGCGAUUAUUUGCAUUUAUUUCUGAAGGAGGAUGUUUUUCCUUCCUCAGAAUAAGUUCAGGAAAUGGGUGAAAUGUUCAGGAAGUUAGCUAAAUGCUGAUGUAAAUCUAAGAGGAAGGUCUGUUGUUUAAAAAAGGGGGGUUGCAGAAAAAGCCUAGGAAGUGGUUUUCUUGCUCACUUAUGGAAAAUGUUAUACAGAAUUUCUGAUUUAAAAGGAAAAGGACUAGGAAAAGUGUGUGUGCCUAUGAUAUCUUUUUUGGUGACUCUGUCAGGCAAAACAGACUUACAUUUAAUAGUAUCUAGUAAAGAAAACUGUGUUCAGAAAGCAAUCCUAGAUAGGAGACAUGACUAGGAUUAAGCUUUUAUUAAACUGAGCUUUAAUUAUGGAAUUAAGUCAGCUAUUUUAGGAGAUAAACUGUGAUAGGAAACUUAAGAGUCCCAAAGAGCUGACAGGCCCUUAACUCCCCACAAAUGAUUAAACACUGCUGUCUACUACAAGGACUCUGGCCCUUCUACCACCACACGUGUCAUGCUGACCGUUGGACAAAGAGAGAAUCUCAGAGCACGGAAAUCCAAGCUGCCAGGGCUGCUGGUCACUGCUGUAGUUUGCUGGGGUUCUGCAUGCUAUUUAUCUAUAGCUGACCACAUAGGGCGUGUUGUAUCAGAUGUACAGCACAAACAAAAUUCCUUGCCUCUGAAAUACUGGAGUGCAUUUUAGAAAUAAAGAUUCAGCUCACUGAACAAGGCUGCAGAGGAUCCACAGGCACUGGUGUUGUCUUUGAAAAUCACUCCUUUCGCAUCUCCCUGCUUCUACCUUUAUUCAGGUCUCAUGGCUUCUCAUCCAUGCAUCAGCCCGCAGCCCACACAACAGCCUCAGAGGAAUAAAAAAAAGCCGCGUUGGUACAAAUACCUACACAGACAGGGACCUUCACACUCCCCUGUGCCAAGCACUGGAGAGAUACACCCUCCCUGCCAUGGCCUUUCACAACUUCGCCUCAGCCCUCUUUGCCUCCCACUCCCAGAAAUUCAGGCUCCUGUUACACUGCAGUGACUUGAAGCUGUGCACCUCCCUUUAGGGAACUCACAGUCGGUUUAUUCACAGAUUUAUCCCUUUCACUUUGUGUAAAGUAGGAAUAGUGGGCACACACAUCUUUGGACUUUAUCGAGUCAUCACUUUGAAGUUCUAGAAUUACGACGCAAAAGUAUCGAGGAAAAAAGGUUCAAAAGACACGAGGCAGACUCACCGUAAUGUGGGCAUUUAUGUAACGCUCUCCUCAAUGGAAAUAUUAUAAAUUGACACACAUGCCUAGAAAAGAUGUUCAGCUGGAGGCAGCAUUUAGUCACAUCAGCGACUAAAUGUCUCUGAUAUUGCAAGUAAGUUUUAACUUUCGUAUUUUACACAUUGAUUUCAGAGGAGCAGAUUCAGUCUCAAAAGAGUUACAGUCUCUAUGCUCCACCUCUCUCCCUUUCUCUUCUUCCCUGAGCUCUCCUCACAAAUUUCCAUGAGGCCAGCCUAUCCUUUUAGGGGUCAAAUGGUGAGCUGACAGCACUUUAGAAACUGUUCCACUACGCUGGGCACUCGGAAGCUGAUCUACCCUGGCUAAAGCAACAAGACCUUGGGCCUUAGGUUAGGAAGAGAUUACACAGGAGGUUGAUAGGUCUAGCAGCACUGAUUUUGAGGAGGGGAUAGAAUGAGACAUGACUUCCUGCCAUAAACUUCUGGAAUGAACACUGUGUCCUAUUUAUCUCCGUCUUCUCCACAGUGCCUCCCCAGGACAGUAGCUAGCACAUGGUGGACCCUUGUCCUACCAGUCAACAAAUACUUACUAAGCCGCAGAGGAUUUGUUUUUCCAGGUUUAGCUUUUUAAGCUUGCUAAUAACAGCUGAAUUCUUUCUCUAUUUUGUCACCUGUAUUUUGGGACUGUAAAUUGGAAUUUGUCUUUCAUGUCGUUUUAUUUUGUUUUGUGGCCCUGCAGAGUGAACCCAGUACCUUUACACUGAGCUAUAUCCCCAGGCGUUUUUAAAAUUUUUUAUUUAGCAUCUUGCUAAGUUUUUUAGUUGUCCAUGCUGGGCUCAAAUUUGAGAUCCUUGUGUCUCAGCCUCCUGAAGUGCUGGGAUUAUAGGCGUGGACCACCACGCCUGGCUCACUUUUGUUUAUUUUUAAAUCACUCCAUCUCUCCGUCUCCCACUCCAGUGUUGUAGACUCUCAGCAUUUACAUUUGUUGGGGGAAGGAGGAGGGAAAUAAAGGAGAGACAAGUGCAGCAAGCAACACAGAGAAACAGGUCCUCCAACCCAUCGCUGAAGCUAAGAUGUUUUCUGUGCUGUAGCAUUUUUCUAGAAAGUAGUGCUGGAUGUAAUGGCUCUUGUCACCUUGGGUUUCCCUUCUCUGCUGGCCACAUUUGUCACAAAAGCCUUUCAAUUCCUAAAUUCCUAUUAAAUAAGGUAAUCAUGUCCGUCCUCAUCUCCUGUCUUUCUUUUCUUAUUCCAUUCCUCUUUUUCCAUUCUCUUUAUCCCUCCUUUCCUUCUUUCCACAAAUGUUCCAGAAACUGUGCCAGGCUCUAGGAUACACAGAGAGGCCAUCUGAGUGACUGGAGUCAUGCUCUGGGAGCUCAGUCAGUGGGGAAAGGGAUGCAGUCACAAACCUUUGCAAACAGGCACAGAGUUUUCAGAGGCUUAACGUGACCAAUAAUGAGCUGCAAAGGGAGGCAGGAAGUCAUAAACAGGAAGAUCUAGGACUUCUUCCCAGGAGAGAUGACAUAGAUUUCAGUUGUGAAAGAUGAACAGACAUAACCUAGCUGGAGAAAGAUGGAAAGAGCUUUUCAGGCAAAAGAAAACAUACAUACAUACACACAUACACACACACACACACACACACACACACACACACAAAUGCACGCACACACCUGGGCAGGGUGAAGCAGAACUGCUUGACCGACUGAGUUUGAGAUCAACCAUAGCCAUAUAGAGAGACUCUUGCCCAGACAGAACAAGUGUGAGAGGAAAAUUAAAAUGAGAAAAAUGCUAAAACUUGGAGCAACUAGCAAGUUUUCCUAUGUGACUUAUCAAUUCCAUCUCAUGGCCUUAUACUUUUCCCAUUUUUUUUUUACCUCAUGUCAACUGAAAUGAUGCAAUCCUCAGGCACUUUAGAAAUUUACAUAGUAAAUCAUUUCAUCUCUUAAGUAGAAGGGCAUAGCCAUUUAAGAUUAAGCACGUUCUUAGAUGAAAAGAGGAUUGGAGCGAAGGAGAUCAAAAUAUACCACCCGAAUAUACUUUUUUGGUAUAUUUCAAGUUGGUUAUUCAGAAAAAAUUGCAGACCUUUGCAAACAUAAGAAUGGCUCUGAAGGGGCUGGGGAUUUGGCUCAGCGGCAUAAGCACCUGCCUUGCAAUCAGGCAGUCGUGAGUUCAAUCCCCAGUACUGAGAAAAAGGAAAAAGACGACAAAAAAAAAAAAAAAAAAUGGCUCUGAAAAGCUAACCUUUGGAAAAGGAAAUUUACAUAUGUACUAGAAAACAGCAGAGGCAGACACAACCUCUUUUUUGUUAUCCUUCCCUCCUUUCCACCUCACAAAAAUCCCUUCAGGCAGAAGAGGCUGGGGUCUGAACUUCCUGGCUGGCUUGGAAACCACCACAGGUGCCUGCUACAUGGGAAACUUCAUCCACAUGAAGAAGGCAGCCCUUUCUUGCUGGGCAUUUCCUCUUCCACAGCUUCCCACAGCCUUCCCUGCAGAAGUCCAAGCCCCUAUCUAAGUGUUCAACUCAGCCUUUUUGCUCCCUUCCCCUACUUUGAGUUGUAUACUGAAUAUGUGCUUAGGUAUAACAGUUUUUUUCAUAGACUAAAAAUCUUCAGAAGGAAGAAUUUCAAAGGUCAUCUACGUGCUGAUAGGAGGCCAUGAGGGAAGUGGAUGAAAAUCAGCCAAUUGAUGGGAAGGGAUUUUUGCGGUUUUCUCCCUGUGGAAAACAGAAACGUUGGAAUCUUUUGUCAUGAGAGCUGAAUGGAAGGAUCAAUAAAUUCUAGAAUAGGAGGCUAAAAGAAUAUGCCACGGUGGCUCUAAGCAUUCCAGGUAAUACCACAGCCCAUUUUGAAAGGCUUUUUUGGGCUAAAUUUGUGCAAGUCCAACAUAUUUCCAGAAUAUUGAAUGAUAUCUUACCAACUUAGUCAUAUUGCAAAGAAAAACUGAGGAGAGGAUGAAGCCCUUCUCCCAAUGUGGUUUAUUUCUGUUCACAGAAUCUCUAAAAACAGAGACCAAGGCUGACCUCUUCAGUCAAGAGUCAGCUCAACUUUAAAAUUAUGAUUGCAUGCGAAAGCUAAAAUGGGAAAGAGAAAAAAUCAGUUCUCAGGACAGAAAUGCUAAAAACCCUUGAGCUGCAUUCCAGCUAGGGUCCUGCCCCUUCACACAGAGCUCCCAUUGCGGGUGGAUGGGUGAGAGAUCAACCAAGACCAGUUUUGACCAGUUGAGGGUCAUAAGGUUUAUACUGUAGGUGAAGUUUAUAGAUAAAGAUAUUCCCUAUAGUGAUUAUGUUACAUUAUCUUCAAAAACAGAAGCUCAAAAACAGAAGCUCAUGGCCAGAUAUCACUAUUGAGAUAAUGUCUGGCAAAGAUUCAUCCACAUUCAAUGAAGUACUUUGUAGUAAAGAAAUCAGAGGACUAGAGUAUGCAUUGUUCCCUAAGGGACCCAUAACAAAUUAUCACAAACCCAGAGGCUUAAGACAACAGAAACUUACUCUCGUACUGUUCUGAAAGCUAGAAGUCUGAACUCAAGUUUGGUUCCUUCUAGAGGCUCUGAGGAAGAAUCCUCCAUGGUUCUCUCUGGGUUUGAGAGGUUCCCAACAGAUCACAAGGCAUUUUCCUCUGUGUCUACAUUUCCUUCUUUAUAGAUGGAUUAGAGGGGCUAGGUGCCCCUCUAAUCUAGUAUGAGCUCACUUUAACUUAAUUACAUCUGAAAAGAAACUGUUUCCAAAUAAGGUCACAUUCACAAGUAUUGGGGGUUAGAACUUGAACAGGACAAUGCAACCCAUAGGAAUGUGAAGUGAAAGCAAAAAUGAAAACCUGUGUAAAGUGAAAACAAACACAAACCCUGAGUGAGACAGAAGAUCUGGCCAUCCAGCUUCCCAGCUUCCUCUUGUGUUCCCCUUGCCCUCUGUAAGUCUGGAGAAAGACAGUGCUUGCCCUGCUUACUUCAGAAAUGCUGUGAGAAUGAAGUAUAAUCAUGUAAGUAUUUUCUAUUGGGAAAGUGCUUCUACAAGUGGAAGGGAUUAUGGUGAAUUCAUUCCAGAUUGUGUUGACUUUUCCUUAACUUCAUAACUACUUAAUGAGUAGGUAAUGGAAUGAGAAACAUAGCCUGUCUUACAGGGAAGAGAAUUUAAAUUACAUGCUUCCUUUCAUUUAAGGUUUGAGAUAAAAGUACAAUAGCAAUAUGCAGAUAAGGAGAAGGGUAUUUCAAAUCCUUGUACCCUGGACUUUUUACUCACCCCAAGACAGGGUAGUAUUCAUGGAAAGUUAAAGAGUGGCAAGAAAUUUAAAAGCAAACCAAGAGGGCUGAUCUCAGGCACAUCAGCAGAUUUCUCCAAUGGUAGUAGCUCUUUUCUCUGUGUGGUCCAUAAUAUUUUGGACCCCAUGGCAAUGUCCUGCUAAUUGCUUUGAAUUUGCUUUGUCCAAUGACUUUUCUGGAUGUGAGGAUGCAGACCACCCAGUUUAUAAAAUUAGGUAAAGAAGAUGUUUUCCUGAAUGACUGAUGUAACAUACUGUCUUGUCUAUUACACAAAACAGAAUUAUUGUGGUCAGAAAAAAAAUAAGAUAAAAAUUGAAUGUUUUCAAAAAGCUUCUGUUUCCCUUCUCAAAAGGCCCAAAGCUCUAGCAGUGAUAAGAAAAUGUUUUCAUGCUACCAAAUGAAGUUAACAGGACUUAGAAGAUGGUCACCCCUAGAAAUGGCAAGAAGAGUUGUCAUGGGAAUAACACUUGGAGAACUACAUUUACAUCCAAAGCAUCUGCAAUCUACUUGAGAGCUACUGAGGAUCACAGUAGUGAUAAAUUCUGUUGACCCUGGAUUGUUGGAGUUUGCUGACCCAGAAGAAAUCCCAGAGAGGAAAAAUAGCACUAGUGAAAAUAAACAAAGAGGCUCCAAGAAAGUAUUUUUCAAUCUGCCAUGCAAACUGAGUCCCCUCUUUCUUACUGCUGGGCAUAUAUGUUUCCUAGGACCCAUCCUAUACUUUCAGAAAUAAGCCAACACACAUUCGUUAAUAAACAAAACUUUAUUUUCCUUUAAUACAAAAAUUAAAUAGCAAGGGUUUUUUGGUACAGUGAUAAAUUAGAAAUUUACAGUACAGACAUCAAUGCAGACAUACUUUUGUACAUCCUUAAAAGCAGGGUCUUCUUACUUUGAAAUUCAGCAAUUCACUCAGGGGAUGUGUACAGGAAUUUGCCUGGUACCUCUAUGUUGAACAUCAGAAAGUCCCCGGGUUUGGCCUCCAGGUUUCUGGAGCUGUGGGGUGCCAUGAGGAUCUAAGAAUAGGCCAGAGAACAACUAGUUUGACUGCCAUACAAAGCAGACGGAGUCUUACUUUACCUUUUUGCAGAUUGCACCUGAUAUUUAGUCUACCUUUCGUAUGAAGAGCUCAAGAAGCCUUCUUCAUCUUCAUUUAGACUUUCUAAAGCCUCACAACAUCCCUGUGAGGUAGGAGAAACUCAGAACCAUCUACAUGCCCCUCUGGGAGAGAUGGAGAAAGCAGCAUGCCCUUCCCCAAAUCCACAACAAAGUCAGGGCCUAUUAACAGGAUUGGGAAUUUUUAACAACCUGAGAGGAAAGAUGGACCCCAACUCUGUGGGGCAGAACUGCUCUCAACCCUUUUUUCAAUGACAGUGGUAAUGUACUGAAUAUUGCAGGAAAUCAAAAGAGGUAUAAGAGUUUUGAGGACAUGGCUCAUAUGGGAUCCCAAAAAGGUCCCCUACAAACUACCUGGGUGAAUACCAGGAACUUGCUGAUGCAAAAAGGUGACAUAAGGUAAUCAAGAUACAAACAAGCCCCUAUGGGGCAACUGGACCUACCAGGGGAAGAGGCAUGUCAAGGAGAUCCAUGGUUCACUUCCCUCCUGGUACUGUCAAGCAUGCCAUUACUACACAUUUGCAUGGCAACUGGCAGCAACAGGGAGCUCUAUCCAGGCUACAGUGAAACAAACUCCAUUAUUUAAGGUUCCAGUAUCUCUUGCUUUGUAGGAGUACAAUACUUUCCUUCAGUUUCCAAGAUCUGUGACCUAGCCACAGAAGAAAAAUGUUAACCCAAGUCCUUCGCCAGACACAAUGUGAACCCUGACAUGGACUCUGAAUUCAAACACAAUAAAGGAACAAAGAAAAUUGUCAGAGUCCAGGGACUUGACUUGACGGGCUAGAAGAGCAACUCUCCAAUUCCCUCUAUCACAGAAUGAAACUCAAGAUGUAGUCUGAUUUUAAGAGUUUCCUUCCAAAGUCUGUGCUCUGUGGUUCUGUUUUGUAACUGCUACUGUAGCUACCUGAUGAGAAACCAAAAUUACACCAUCCCAGUGAGAUCUCUUCAAAUGAGCUUCUCCCUAUUGGGAUGAAGACGCUGAGUUCACCUUCCUGUCCUCAGGUGCCAUCUUGGUUCUCAACACAAAAGGCAACCACUCAAUCCCAUGACCAAGAAUGCAGGGGCCAGAGAGUUCAAAGCUGGGGGUGCUUGACAGAAUCAUGAUGCAGAAUAUAACACAGAAGUUUUCCAGAUUCUGUUUCUGGGGAAUACUGGUAAGGGAGUGACCAAGGAAAGAAGAAAAAUCAAAAA